rnacentral:rRNA from 1 species
UACGUAGGGUGCAGGCGUUAAUCGGAAUUACUGGGCGUAAAGCGUGCGCAGGCGGUUCCGCAAGUCAGAUGUGAAAUCCCCGGGCUCAACCUGGGAACUGCAUUUGAAACUACGGGGCUAGAGUGUGUCAGAGGGGGGUGGAAUUCCACGUGUAGCAGUGAAAUGCGUAGAGAUGUGGAGGAACACCAAUGGCGAAGGCAGCCCCCUGGGAUGACACUGACGCUCAUGCACGAAAGCGUGGGGAGCAAACAGG